AUUGAACGCUGGCGGCAGGCCUAACACAUGCAAGUCGAACGAGUGGCGGACGGGUGAGUAAUUUCUGGGCAACUGCCUGAUGGAGGGGGAUAACUACUGGAAACGGUAUCUAAUACCGCAUACCCUCUGAUGUGCCCAGAUGGGAUUAGCUAGUAGGUGGGGUAAAGGCUUACCGAGGCAACGAUCCCUAGCUGGUCUGAGAGGAUGACCAGCCACACUGGAACUUAGACACGGUCCAGCCUCCUACGGGAGGCAGCAGUGGGGAAUAGUGCACAAUGGGCGCAAGCCUGAUGCAGCCAUGCCGCGUGUAUGAAGAAGGCCUUCGGGUUGUAAAGGACUUGCAGCGGGGAGGCGUUACCCGCAGAAGAAGCACCGGCUAACUCCGUGCCAGCAGCCGCGGUAAUAC
rnacentral:rRNA from 1 species